rnacentral:ncRNA from 2 species
GUACUGGCAGGAAGUUUUAUCGUUGUGUUCCUUUGCUGCCUCUAGAAGGAGAGCGACGUCACAGAGGCAGACAGUGC